AGUGAACGCUGGCGGCAUGCCUUACACAUGCAAGUCGAACGGCGGCACGGGUGCUUGCACCUGGUGGCGAGUGGCGAACGGGUGAGUAUACAUCGGAACGUACCUUAUCGUGGGGGAUAACGCAGCGAAAGCUGUGCUAAUACCGCAUACGCCCUGAAGGGGAAAGCGGGGGAUCGAAAGACCUCGCGCGAUUAGAGCGGCCGAUGCCUGAUUAGCUUGUUGGUGGGGUAAAAGCCCACCAAGGCGACGAUCAGUAGCUGGUCUGAGAGGACGAUCAGCCACACUGGGACUGAGACACGGCCCAGACUCCUACGGGAGGCAGCAGUGGGGAAUUUUGGACAAUGGGGGCAACCCUGAUCCAGCAAUGCCGCGUGAGUGAAGAAGGCCUUCGGGUUGUAAAGCUCUUUUGUCAGGGAAGAAACACCGGCUCUAACACAGUCCGGGAAUGACGGUACCUGAAGAAUAAGCACCGGCUAACUACGUGCCAGCAGCCGCAGUAA
rnacentral:rRNA from 1 species